rnacentral:lncRNA from 1 species
CAGGGGUCGCAAGGUUAGUCCCGCGCCAAGCGCCUUGUCCUUUCCCACGCCUGAGGGGAAGGCCCCAGGCGCGCGGGAGUGGCAGGCUCGCGGUGACGCUCCAGGCCGAGUACGCGAUGGCUGCCGCGGCGGGUCAGGCCCGAGGCAGCGCUGCUGGGGCGGGUGUGAGUGUGAGGGACAACUUGAAAAGAACUGGCGCGGCACCCGCGACCCAGGAAGCGAGGCCGAGGUAAGAGACGCGCUCCGCCCGGGGAGGGAGUCGUCUCCCCAACCCUCCGGAAGGAGGAGGAGCCCGAGUCGGAGCCGCCUCAGCGCGGCCG